rnacentral:lncRNA from 1 species
CUCGGGAGCACCACGACGCCGCGCAGCUGCUGACGAAGCUCGCCAGGAGCAGGGCCAAGGGAGAUGAGAAACCUACUCCACAAGACUGGGCCGAGCUGCUCAAAGAUAUUCUUGAAUUACAAUCGACUCUGCUGACUUGCGUCACUAAAGAAGAAUGUUAUGAGAUCUACGCGUCAUCCCUGCUGACAUCUGGCGAUGCGAACAGUAUUCGUUUAGCUGCCGAUGUUCUCACGUGUAGUACUGAUAACCGCGAGCCGAGGCGCAACGGCCCACAAGUCCCUUACGAGCGGAGCGUACAACUCGCGACAGCUGCUUCCAAGGAAUACUUCAAUUCUGCUUCCUC